AAGACAAGCCGUCUUUGAGAAGAAUUUGAUGCCUCUCUUAAAGGGCUCUGUGACCUGGACUGUCCAAAUAAGGAGGCAGUCAAGAACAUAGCAAGAACAGGGUGUUGCUGGAAGUCAGGAAGAACUUGCUUGUUUCCAUGGUGAUCGUGAGGCUGCCUGGUGAUAUUAAACAAUGCCGCAUCGCGCUGCGAUGGCAAAAGUGGACGGAUGCCUCAGCAGUUCCCCUCAUGACCCAGAUGGAAAGCUGGCUAUUUUUAGGAAGAGCUUUUGAAAAAGGGCAGCAUGGCUGCAAGCCACAGUCUUUGAUCUGCUCCGCUUGACUGGUUCCAAGUGAUCGCUUUCAGACUGGCAGGACUGUGAUGCUAUUCCGCAGCUGGAGGAACGCCAGAAGAAGAGCACUUCGUCUUCAAUAAAAUUGGCUCUGACAUCGGUGUGUGGUUUAUGCGCCCGGAGA